UGUAUACAAGAAAUGUCAGAUGCGUUAAUUAUUAUGUGGUUACUUGACUUAUUUGUUUAUUUAUCAAAUGAGGAUAAAGCACAUAUAUAAAACGUCAUAUUCGUAAAUCAGGAUGUGGUUACUUAACAAAUUUGUUUUGUUUCAACAAGGAUAAAAAAAAACAAUACUUAUAUAAGAAAAACUAUUACAGAGUGGAAAAAUUAUAGAAACCCUCUUCAGUUAAUAGUCACAUACAUAGAGAACGAAAAAAAAGGAAAAUGAAGAUCUUAAUUGUUUGCUUCUUCUUUGGUUUAGAGAUUGCAGGUGUACUGAGUAGAAGAUGUGUUAUUUAUGCAGAGAAUGAAACUAUACCAGCCAUUCCAAAGGGCGCCCAGUUUGGUAGAACAUGUUAUAACGUGAUUAAUGACAAAAAUAGGUACUGCAUUGAAUGGGAUUGUCCUCAAGCUGACUGUUCUAAUCCAAUUAAUCCGAUUAAGGGUUGUCCGUACUGUAAAGGUACAUGUGUAGAUGCUGGUAAAGUGUAUCAAAAAGGUACCUCAUGGAGGUGUGCUGAUGGAUGUAAUAGAUGCAUGUGUAGCACUACGACGAUAUCGACGAUGAUGAUGUGCUAUGACAAAAACCCACCACAGGAGUGCAUGGCAACCAUUGGUUAAUAACAUAAUACCCAAAUAAAAUCCUGUUACUUGUA